CAUGCAAGUCUCCGCACCCCCGUGAGAACGCCCCCAUUUUCCUAAAAGGAAUAAGGAGCUGGUAUCAGGCACAAUUCUUUGCCCAAGACACCUAGUUCAACCACACCCCCAAGGGUAAUCAGCAGUGAUUAACAUUGAAUAUAAGCGAUAGCUUGACUCAGUUAAAGUAGAUAGGGCUGGCAAAUCUGGUGCCAGCCGCCGCGGUUACACCAUGAAGCCCGAAUUGAUUUUUUUCGGCGUAAAGUGUGAUUAAAGUACUAAUAAAUUAUAGCUCAACCAGAAUUAAGCCGUAACACGCUUGUUCCUGAGAAACCCAAAAACGAAAGUUACUAUAAUUAAUUUACUUGAACUCACGAUAGCUAGGAGACAAACUGGGAUUAGAUACCCCACUAUGCUAGCCAUAAACUUUAAAUUACAACCAUAUACGCCAGGGAACUACGAGCCAAGCUUAAAACCCAAAGGACUUGACGGUACCCCACAUCCACCUAGAGGAGCCUGUCCUAUAAUCGAUAACCCCCGCUCAACCUCACCAUUUUUAGUAAAUCAACCUGUAUACCUCCGUCGCCAGCUUACCACAUGAGUGGCUUCUAGUAAGUUUAAUGUUACUUCAUCAGUACGUCAGGUCAAGGUGCAGUAAAUAAAAUGGGAAAAGAUGGGCUACACUCUCUACCUUAGAGAAUACGAAAGACUAUUUAUGAAAUCUAGUCAGAAGGCGGAUUUAGUAGUAAAAAGAGACCAUAAAGCUCCUUUUAACAAGGCACUGGGGUGCGUACACACCGCCCGUCACCCCCUUCAAGGCCAAAAAAAGUACUUAACACUAGAAAGUCAACCAGAAGA
rnacentral:ncRNA from 1 species